AACAAAUAAUUCCUGAUAUAAUUCCCAGCCUAAAUGCAACUGCAUGGAUCUUCUUGUGAGUUUUCCCACCAUGUCUGUAGCCAGGCCUGGAGCAGGACUUGCAGCCAACUGUGCAAGCUGACCACAGCUCCACACAUCAUGGACAACACUUUUUCAGCUUGCAGCAGGCUGCUUUGCAUUUGUUGGAGUUAAUACCAACUGUGCCCACCUUAUGGGUUGAACAGCUGCCAGCACACCUGUAUGGAAGGCCCUAAAAAUGGCUCACUUGCAUGUUUUUUUUUUGUUGGUUUUGAGCAAAAUUCUGAGCCCUUCAAAAGGACGUGGAGUAAGUUUUUCAUACACACAUUUCAUACAGAUGAGUCUCUUCUGACUCUAAGGGCAACUGUUUCAAUCUUACUGCUCCCAAAAUGUUCAGACAAGGCCAGCCUGAGAAAAAACUCCAACAUCACAAAAAUCCAGACUUACCCUUAACAAAGUGUGCAAAUGCUGUGGCCAAGCUCUGUUUGUAAGGAAAGAUUUGGACAAAAGGCUCGUUCCCUUCCCCUCUGCCCAGGAAAAGGAUCAAUGACAGAGGUAAUUAAGAGAUAUUUUGGUUUUUCCUGCAUGUCCAACCGUGGAUCUGUUAGCAUCAGAGGUUUUUCUUCCUGCAUUCACACCCUCUGGCUGACAAAUUGGCAUGCAUCAUUGCAGAGAAGCAAGCAGCUCCUGCUGGUGCAGAGACCUGAGCAUGUUGAUGGGGCGAUGGGGCUGGGCCACUCUGGGGCCUUCACUCGCAUGCAGUUGCAGCUGUGGGUGGAGAAAAUCCAUUUCACACAAGUGGCAAUGACAGGAGAGAUCUCAACAUGCUCCCGGCUGUGUGUUGGUUAUCAGGUCCAUCAGGCCCCAGUGUGGGACUGCAAUGUCUUGAACACCAGUUGGACAAUAGCAGCCAAGGCCUUGCCAUGAGGUCGCCAUGGAGAUCAGCAUCAGUGAGGCCACUUCUUUCUGGAAAUAUUUCCUUUCCUAAAGUGCUUUGAAGGAGAAGAUCUGGUGGCAUUCCCCAGAGACCAAGAGGUCAACAGGUGGCACCGAGUGAAGACUGGAGAGACAAAGUUUAUCUCCUCUCCAGAGAAGCCUGCUAAAUAAGGUGGUGUGUGGGGGGAAGAGCACCACAAGAGGAUGCAGAGAGCGCAUGGAGGGAGAAAAGAAGCAAAGAAACAGCAGAGAGUGUAAGGAGGUCUGAAGGGGUUGAAAUGUCAGGAAGAAAUGACGUUUUUCUGCAGAGAGAAAAGCAAGAGCUGUGCUGAGUGCAGGAUGGGUCCCCUUAAAGCAGCCCCUCUACCUUCUGAGGGUGGUUUGGCUCAAGUCCUCAGCAACAUUGCUCUUGCUUAAUGUGAAACUUGGAAGCAACCCUGGGUAAACAAGCCAGGCUAAUAUUUUACAGGCUGAUCGUAACUACUUGAAGGAGAAGUUGGACAAGAGAAGCUAUUCCAGUUGGAUGAGAGAAUUGAUUGAAAGCUGAAAACCAAAACAUAUCGGAGAAAAUGCCAGCCAGAGAACACAAUAGUUUUGCUGAAAUUUUACUCUCUCUGCACUUCAUCCUUGAAAAGAAUUUUUCACAGAUGUAUGUAUUGCCAGAAAGCAGUGACAUGAGUAAGGUGUGAUUGUGAAAUGAGGAAUAUUUCUCUCUGGUAAGAGAAGGCUUAUAGAGGUUGGGUAAAGAGACAUGGUCAAAUUUUGUACUGCAACUGUACAUUUUAUCUGAAAAUUUGCAAGUAAUGUAUUUAUGUUGACUGAGAACAGAAAGCACAGACAUUAUUUUUUGCUGUUCACAGGACUGUUUAGCCAAUCUAUCAAAAUCCAUAAACUUAUCUGCCAUAACUUGAGUCAGCACUGCACUGCACUCUGCCCUGUCCCGUUUCAGUCCAGUAUG